rnacentral:rRNA from 1 species
CGGAGGGUGCAAGCGUUAAUCGGAAUUACUGGGCGUAAAGCGCACGCAGGUGGCUGAGUCAGUCGAUUGUGAAAGCCCUGGGCUUAACCUGGGAAUUGCAGUCGAUACUACUCAGCUAGAGUAUGGGAGAGGGCAGUGGAAUUCCCGGUGUAGCGGUGAAAUGCGUAGAUAUCGGGAGGAACAUCAGUGGCGAAGGCGGCUGCCUGGCCCAAUACUGACACUCAGGUGCGACAGCGUGGGAGCAAACAGGAUU